rnacentral:rRNA from 1 species
UGCAAGUCGAGCGGAAGAUGGGAGCUUGCUCCCUGAAGUCAGCGGCGGACGGGUGAGUAACACGUGGGCAACCUGCCUGUAAGACUGGGAUAACUUCGGGAAACCGGAGCUAAUACCGGAUAAUGCUUUUGGACUCAUGUCCUUAAGCUGAAAGAUGGUUUCGGCUAUCACUUACAGAUGGGCCCGCGGCGCAUUAGCUAGUUGGUGAGGUAACGGCUCACCAAGGCAACGAUGCGUAGCCGACCUGAGAGGGUGAUCGGCCACACUGGGACUGAGACACGGCCCAGACUCCUACGGGAGGCAGCAGUAGGGAAUCUUCCGCAAUGGACGAAAGUCUGACGGAGCAACGCCGCGUGAGUGAUGAAGGUUUUCGGAUCGUAAAACUCUGUUGUUAGGGAAGAACAAGUAUCGGAGUAACUGCCGGUACCUUGACGGUACCUAACCAGAAAGCCACGGCUAACUACGUGCCAGCAGCCGCGGUAAUACGUAGGUGGCAAGCGUUGUCCGGAAUUAUUGGGCGUAAAGCGCGCGCAGGCGGUCCUUUAAGUCUGAUGUGAAAGCCCACGGCUCAACCGUGGAGGGUCAUUGGAAA